CGUAGGUGGUUGUGUAAGUCGGAUGUGAAAUCCCCAGGCUUAACCUGGGAACUGCAUCCGAUACUGCAUGACUCGAGUGCAGCAGAGGGAAACGGAAUUCCUGGUGUAGAGGUGAAAUUCGUAGAUAUCAGGAGGAACACCGGUGGCGAAGGCGGUUUCCUGGGCUGACACUGACACUGAGGCGCGAAAGCGUGGGUAGCAAACAGGAUUAGAUACCCUGGUAGUCCACGCUGUAAACGGUGAGUGCUGGGUGUGGGAGGUGUAAUGCCUUCUGUGCCGAAGCUAACGCGUUAAGCACUCCGCCUGGGGAGUACGGCCGCAAGGUUGAA
rnacentral:rRNA from 1 species